GCCAGGUGUGAUGGCUUGCACCUGUAGUCCCAGCUACUUGGGAGGCUGAGGCAGAAGAAUUGCUUGAACCCAGGAGGCAGAGGUUGCAGUGAGCCAAGAUGGUGCCACUGCACUCCAGCCUGGGUGACAGAGCGAGACUCCGUCUCAA
rnacentral:SRP_RNA from 1 species